GCCUAGCUGGCUCAGUUGGUAGAGCACGUGACUCUUGAUCUCAGGGUUGUAAGUUCAAGCCCUACGUUGGGUG
rnacentral:tRNA from 1 species